rnacentral:rRNA from 1 species
AUACGUAGGGUGCAAGCGUUAAUCGGAAUUACUGGGUGUAAAGCGUGCGCAGGCGGUUUUGUAAGACAGAGGUGAAAUCCCCGGGCUCAACCUGGGAACUGCCUUUGGGACUGCAAGGCUAGAGUGCGGCAGAGGGGGAUGGAAUUCCGCGUGUAGCAGUGAAAUGCGUAGAUAUGCGGAGGAACACCGAUGGCGAAGGCAAUCCCCUGGGCCUGUACUGACGCUCAUGCACGAAAGCAUGGGGAGCAAACAGGAUUAGAUACCCUGGUAGUCCACGCCCUAAACGAUGUCAACUGGUUGUUGGGUCUUCAUUGACUCAGUAACGAAGCUAACGUGUGAAGUUGACCGCCUGGGGAGUACGGCCGCAAGGUUGAAACUCAAAGGAAUUGACGGGG